rnacentral:rRNA from 1 species
UACGUAGGGGGCAAGCGUUGUCCGGAAUUAUUGGGCGUAAAGAGCGUGUAGGCGGCUAGGUAGGUCCGCUGUGAAAACUUGAGGCUCAACCUCAAGAGGUCGGUGGAAACCAUCUGGCUAGAGUCCGGAAGAGGAGAGUGGAAUUCCCGGUGUAGCGGUGAAAUGCGCAGAUAUCGGGAAGAACACCCGUGGCGAAGGCGGCUCUCUGGGACGGUACUGACGCUGAGACGCGAAAGCGUGGGGAGCGAGCAGG